GUCCCUGUAGCGCAAUGGAUAGCGCGUUGGACUUUUAAUCCAAAUCCCAUCGAAUCCCACCUGGGAUG